AUACGGAGGGUGCAAGCGUUAUUCGGAAUCACUGGGCGUAAAGGACGCGUAGGCGGGUUGGCAAGUCAGAUGUGAAAUCCUACAGCUUAACUGUAGAACUGCAUUUGAAACUGCUAACCUAGAGUAUGGGAGGGGGAGAUGGAAUUAGUGGUGUAGGGGUAAAAUCCGUAGAUAUCACUAGGAAUACCGAAAGCGAAGGCGAUCUCCUGGAACAUAACUGACGCUAAGGCGUGAAAGCGUGGGGAGCAAACAGGAUUAGAAGCCCUAGUAGUCC
rnacentral:rRNA from 1 species